CACGUAGGGCGCAAGCGUUUGUCCGGAAUUAUUGGGCGUAAAGAGCUCGUAGGCGGCUUGUCACGUCGGGUGUGAAAGCCCGGGGCUUAACCCCGGGUCUGCAUUCGAUACGGGCUAGCUAGAGUGUGGUAGGGGAGAUCGGAAUUCCUGGUGUAGCGGUGAAAUGCGCAGAUAUCAGGAGGAACACCGGUGGCGAAGGCGGAUCUCUGGGCCAUUACUGACGCUGAGGAGCGAAAGCGUGGGGAGCGAACAGG
rnacentral:rRNA from 1 species